GAACGGGUGAGUAAUACAUAAGUAACCUGCCCUAGACAGGGGGAUAACUAUUGGAAACGAUAGCUAAGACCGCAUAGGUACGGACACUGCAUGGUGACCGUAUUAAAAGUGCCUCAAAGCACUGGUAGAGGAUGGACUUAUGGCGCAUUAGCUGGUUGGCGGGGUAACGGCCCACCAAGGCGACGAUGCGUAGCCGACCUGAGAGGGUGACCGGCCACACUGGGACUGAGACACGGCCCAGACUCCUACGGGAGGCAGCAGUAGGGAAUUUUCGGCAAUGGGGGAAACCCUGACCGAGCAACGCCGCGUGAAGGAAGAAGGUUUUCGGAUUGUAAACUUCUGUUAUAAAGGAAGAACGGCGGCUACAGGAAAUGGUAGCCGAGUGACGGUACUUUAUUAGAAAGCCACGGCUAACUACGUGCCAGCAGCCGCGGUAAUACGUAGGUGGCAAGCGUUAUCCGGAAUUAUUGGGCGUAAAGAGGGAGCAGGCGGCAGCAAGGGUCUGUGGUGAAAGCCUGAAGCUUAACUUCAGUAAGCCAUAGAAACCAGGCAGCUAGAGUGCAGGAGAGGAUCGUGGAAUUCCAUGUGUAGCGGUGAAA
rnacentral:rRNA from 1 species